rnacentral:rRNA from 1 species
GACGAACGCUGGCGGCGUGCUUAACACAUGCAAGUCGAACGGAAAGGCCCUGCUUUUGUGGGGUGCUCGAGUGGCGAACGGGUGAGUAACACGUGAGUAACCUGCCCUUGACUUUGGGAUAACUUCAGGAAACUGGGGCUAAUACCGGAUAGGAGCUCCUGCUGCAUGGUGGGGGUUGGAAAGUUUCGGCGGUUGGGGAUGGACUCGCGGCUUAUCAGCUUGUUGGUGGGGUAGUGGCUUACCAAGGCUUUGACGGGUAGCCGGCCUGAGAGGGUGACCGGCCACAUGGGGACUGAGAUACGGCCCAGACUCCUACGGGAGGCAGCAGGGGGGAAUAUUGCACAAUGGGCGGAAGCCUGAUGCAGCAACGCCGCGGGCGGGAUGACGGCCUUCGGGUUGUAAACCGCUUUCGCCUGUGACGAAGCGUGAGUGACGGUAAUGGGUAAAGAAGCACCGGCUAACUACGUG